CAGGAGAAGCUGUACCCAAACCUCGUACCGUGGAUAGGAUAACAGUGCCCUGGCGUCACAAACUGAUCAGGAAAUCCAGAAGCAGGUUAACACUGAAGAUUUGUGCGGUGGAGCAGGCUGUAAUUUACUUGAGUCCACAAGUCCAGGGUAAUCCACAAACAAAGAAUGGCAGCAGCACUUAGGGAAUGCAAAGAAUGAUACACGAGAAAGUAGAAGAUGUCUGGCACUUCACUCCGGUGCUCUCUGCUGACACCUGAUGCCCGUAUCAAGAACUGUCCAGAGCAGGAGAAAAUCCCCAUAGCAAACCUAUGCUGCUCUGGACAGAUGCCAAUCUGAGGAAGGAGGAUUUCACCUCCGAAACGCGUCAUUGGUUUCUGAAUUAAUAAAUACAGUACCUGCUGUUACUUUAACUGUUACAUCUGCAUUGGCUUCGUAAUU